ensembl:miRNA Mir6912 microRNA 6912
UGAAGUACAGGGAGGGUGCUCAGGCAGGCUUCUGGCUGUAGCAGGCUACCUGAGGGUCUCCUUCCUGCAG